UACGGGGGGGGCAAGCGUUGUUCGGAAUUACUGGGCGUAAAGGGCUCGUAGGCGGCCAACUAAGUCAUACGUGAAAUCCCUCGGCUUAACCGGGGAACUGCGUCUGAUACUGGAUGGCUUGAGUUCGGGAGAGGGAUGCGGAAUUCCAGGUGUAGCGGUGAAAUGCGUAGAUAUCUGGAGGAACACCGGUGGCGAAGGCGGCAUCCUGGUCCUGUUCUGACGCUGAGGCGCGAGAGCGUGGGGAGCGAACUGG
rnacentral:rRNA from 1 species